rnacentral:rRNA from 1 species
GACGAACCGUGCGAACGUUGUUCGGAAUCACUGGGCUUAAAGGGCGCGUAGGCGGGGCAGCAAGUCCGGGGUGAAAUCGUUCGGCUCAACCGAACCACUGCCUCGGAUACUGCUUCUCUCGAGGGGGGUAGGGGCAGCUGGAACUUCCGGUGGAGCGGUGAAAUGCGUUGAUAUCGGAAGGAACGCCGGUGGCGAAAGCGAGCUGCUGGACCUUUUCUGACGCUGAGGCGCGAAAGCCAGGGGAGCAAACGGG